rnacentral:rRNA from 1 species
AUACGUAGGUGGCGAGCGUUGUCCGGAUUUAUUGGGCGUAAAGGGAGUGUAGGCGGUCUUUUAAGUCUGAUGUGAAAGCCCACGGCUCAACCGUGGAGGGUCAUUGGAAACUGGGAGACUUGAGUGCAGAAGAGGAGAGCGGAAUUCCAUGUGUAGCGGUGAAAUGCGUAGAUAUAUGGAGGAACACCAGUGGCGAAGGCGGCUCUCUGGUCUGUAACUGACGCUGAGGCUCGAAAGCGUGGGGAGCAAACAGGAUUAGAUACCCUGGUAGUCCACGCCGUAAACGAUGAGUGCUAAGUGUUGGAGGGGUUCCACCCUUCAGUGCUGGAGUUAACGCAAUAAGCACUCCGCCUGGGGAGUACGGCCGCAAGGCUGAA